GAUGAACGCUGGCGGCGUGCCUAACACAUGCAAGUCGAGCGAUUCUCUUCGGAGAAGAGCGGCGGACGGGUGAGUAACGCGUGGGUAACCUGCCCUGUACACACGGAUAACAUACCGAAAGGUAUGCUAAUACGAGAUAAUAUGCUUUUAUCGCAUGGUAGAAGUAUCAAAGCUUUUGCGGUACAGGAUGGACCCGCGUCUGAUUAGCUAGUUGGUAAGGUAACGGCUUACCAAGGCGACGAUCAGUAGCCGACCUGAGAGGGUGAUCGGCCACAUUGGAACUGAGACACGGUCCAAACUCCUACGGAGGCAGCAGUGGGGAAUAUUGCACAAUGGGCGAAAGCCUGAUGCAGCAACGCCGCGUGAGCGAUGAAGGCCUUCGGGUCGUAAGGACUCUGUCCUCAAGGAAGAGUAAUAGACGGUACUUACGAGGAGGAAGCCCGGCUAACGUAACGUGCCAGCAGCCGCGGUAA
rnacentral:rRNA from 1 species